rnacentral:rRNA from 1 species
AGCGAACGCUGGCGGCAGGCCUAACACAUGCAAGUCGAACGAAGUCUUCGGACCUAGUGGCGGACGGGUGAGUAACACGUGGGAACGUGCCUUUAGGUUCGGAAUAACUCAGGGAAACUGUUGCUAAUACCCCAUAAUGCUGAGGAGCGAAAGGGAAACCACCAAAAGAGAGGCUUGCGUCUGAUUAGCUAGUUGGAGGAGGUAAAGGCUCCCCAAGGCGACGAUCAGUAGCUGGUCUGAGAGGAUGAUCAGCCACACUGGGACUGAGACACGGCCCAGACUCCUACGGGAGGCAGCAGUGGGGAAUUUUCCACAAUGGGCGAAAGCCUGAUGGAGCAAUACCGCGUGAGGGAUGAAGGAUCGUGGUCUGUAAACCUCUUUUCUUAACGAAGAAGUUCUGACGGUAGUUAAGGAAUAAGCACCGGCUAACUACGUGCCAGCCGCCGCAGUAACAC